GGGUGCGAUCAUACCAACGUUAAUCCACCAGAUUCCAUCAUAACUCUACAAUUAAGUACGAUUGGGAUAGAGUAGUACUAGAAUGGGUGACCUCCCAUGAAGUUCUAAUGUUGCACCCU
rnacentral:rRNA from 1 species